UACAGAGGUCCCGAGCGUUGUUCGGAUUUACUGGGCGUAAAGGGUGCGUAGGCGGUUGGGUAAGUCUGAUGUGAAAGCCCCGGGCUCAACCCGGGAAUGGCAUUAGAAACUGCCUGGCUGGAGGGUUGGAGGGGGGACUGGAAUUCCCAGUGUAGCAGUGAAAUGCGUAGAUAUUGGGAGGAACGCCAGUGGCGAAGGCGAGUCCCUGGACAACACCUGACGCUGAGGCACGAAAGCUAGGGGAG
rnacentral:rRNA from 1 species